AGGACGGGCCUUUCAGGCAUCCUCUCCUAAAGACUUUCGGGUCGGCCCUUCGGGACCGACCCUUUUUUUGCCCGCA
rnacentral:sRNA from 1 species